rnacentral:lncRNA from 1 species
CCCCCCCCCCCCCCCCACCCCGGAUGCCCCCCCCGCGCCCCGCGGUGACGGGUAUUCUUGGGUGGAUAAUACGGAUUACGUUGUUAUUGCUUAAGAAUACGCGUAGUCGAGGGGACGCCCCGAGCCGGCCUCCUCGUGCAUCCUUUUCUCGUGCAUCCCCCUCGUGCAUCCCCCUCGUGCACGAGGCCGUGCGUCCUCGUGAGCUCGCGGGGGGGUCCGUGUGAAGCUUCGGGUGCCCUCGGCUGUCACUCAGCAUCCGGCCCUGCGUGUGCUCUGCGCCCUCGUGCAUCCUCGUGCAUCCUCGUGCAGCUAUCCCUGAGCUUGCCCUUGCAACGUCGUGCAUCCUCUUGCAACGUCGUGCAUCCUCGUGCAUCUUUGUGCAUCCUCGUGCAUCUAUCCCAAAACACGCCCUUGUUACCUUGUGCAUCCUCGUGCAUCUAUCCCAAAACACGCCCUUGUUACCUCGUGCAUCCUCGUGCAACCCCGUGCAUCCAUCCUUGAGCAAUGCCCUUGCAACGUCGUGCACCCUCGUGCAUCUAUCCCAAAACACACCCUUGUUACCUUGUGCAUCCUCGUGCAUCCUUGUGCAUCGAUCUGUAAGCAUGCCCUUGCAACCUCGUGCUUCCUCGUGCACCUAUCUCUGAGCAUCCCCUUGCAAACUCGUGCACACUCAUGCAUCCUCUUGCAAUGCCGUGCAGCCAUCCUUGAGCAUGUCCUUGCAACGUCGUGCAACGUCGUGCAUCCUCGUGCAUCCAUCCCUGAGCAAUGCCCUUUCAACCUCGUGCAUCCUCAUGCACCCGCGUGCGUUCACCCCUGAGCACGCCAUUGCAACCCCAUGCAACCCCCGUUGCAUCCCAUUGCAUCCCAUUGCAACCCAUUGCAACCCAUUGCAUCCCAUUGCAUCCCAUUGCAUCCCAUUGCAACCCAUUGCAUCCCAUUGCAUCCCAUUGCAACCCAUUGCAUCCAUUGCAACCCAUUGCAACCCAUUGCAUCCCAUUGCAACCCAUUGCAACCCAUUGCAACCCAUUGCAACCCAUUGCAACCCAUUGCAUCCCAUUGCAACCCAUUGCAUCCCAUUGCAACCAUUGCAAACCCAUUGCAACCCAUUGCAUCCCUAUGAACCCAUUGCAUCCCAUUGCCAACCCUGAUUACAUCCCAUUUGCAUCCCAUUGGCAUCCAUUGCAACACAUUACAUCCCAUUGCCAACACCAUUGCAAUCCCCCGAUUGACAUCCCAUUGCAACCCAUUGCAUCCAUUGCAACCCAUGGG